UACGGAAGGCAGCAGUGGGGAAUAUUGCACAAUGGGCGAAAGCCUGAUGCAGCUAUGCCGCGUGUAUGAAGAAGGCCUUAGGGUUGUAAAGUACUUUCAUCGGGGAGGAAAAAACAAAACUAAUAAUUUUAUUUCUUGACGUUACCCGAAAAAGAAGCACCGGCUAACUCCGUGCCAGCAGCCGCGGUAAUACGGAGGGUGCUAGCGUUAAUCAGGAUUACUGGGCGUAAAGAGCACGUAGGUGGUUUUUUUAAGUCAGAUGUGAAAUCCCUGGGCUUAACCUAGGAACUGCAUUUUGAAACUGAAAUACUAGAGUAUCGUAGAGGGAGGUAGAAUUCUAGGUGUAGCGGUGAAAUGCGUAGAUAUCUGGAGGAAUACCUGUGGCGAAAGCGGCCUCCUAAACGAAUACUGACACUGAGGUGCGAAAGCGUGGGGAGCAAACAGGGAUUAGAUACC
rnacentral:rRNA from 1 species